AGAGUUUGAUCCUGGCUCAGGAUUAACGCUGGCGGCGUGCCUAACACAUGCAAGUCGAGCGGGUGCCAGUCUGUAGCAAUACAGAUGAAGCGCUAGCGGCAGACGGGUGAGUAACACGUAGUCAACCUGCCUUUCCGUCCGGGAUAACUAAUCGAAAGGUUAGCUAAUACCUGAUACGAUCGUCGAGCGGCAUCGCUUGA
rnacentral:rRNA from 1 species